UCCUACGGGAGGCAGCAGUGAGGAAUAUUGGACAAUGGGCGGAAGCCUGAUCCAGCCAUGCCGCGUGCAGGAAGACGGCCCUACGGGUUGUAAACUGCUUUUAUACAGGAAGAAUAAUCACCACGUGUGGUGAGAUGACGGUACUGUAAGAAUAAGGACCGGCUAACUCCGUGCCAGCAGCCGCGGUAAUACGGAGGGUCCGAGCGUUAUCCGGAAUCAUUGGGUUUAAAGGGUCCGCAGGCGGGCAAUUAAGUCAGGGGUGAAAUGCUGUGGCUCAACCAUAGCACUGCCCUUGAUACUGGUUGUCUUGAGUUGUGGUGAAGUGGCCGGAAUAUGUAGUGUAGCGGUGAAAUGCAUAAAUAUUACAUAGAACACCGAUCGCGAAGGCAGGUCACUAACCACUAACUGACGCUGAUGGACGAAAGCGUGGGGAGCGAACGGGAUUAUAUACCCCGGUAGUCCACGCUGUAAACGAUGGAUACUAGCUGUCGGGUUUUUCGGACUCUGUGGCCAAGCGAUAGUGAUAUUUAUUCCACCUGUGAAUUCCUUCGCGAGAAUGCAAAUUUAAUGAAUUGACGGAAAGGCGAAUCCUUUAU
rnacentral:rRNA from 1 species